UAUUUUUUUUUUACUUUUACCCAAGUAUUUUGCGAAAUAACUAUUUUUUAGCACAAAAACGUCAUUUUAUAGGGUGGUCUAUAUAUAAUUUACCUGUAUUCUAUUUUAAUUUUCUAAGUUUUUUGAAAUACGUGUUUUUCUUGUAUGCUUUUGUCAGUCCAGUCGGCUGACAACAACAGAAAGACCGUUCAUAAAUUAUUGUCUAUAAUUAGUUUCAAACCUAGAACUGGAUUUAAACCACAAGUUACUUUCUGAAGAGUAGUUUAAAUUGGGCCAAGAGUAUGAGGGCAAUUUUUCGUUGUGAUGAGUUGCCCAUGGUCAUGGAUGGAUUCUGUGGUUCAUAAUACAGAGUUAAAAAAAAAAUCGAAUAUGUCGCCCUCUUAUCCACUUUUUAAUUUUGAUACAUAUGAAAAUCUUGCAAACGCGUUCACAUUUAAAGAUAAACUCAUAGAUCUAAACUUUUUUUUUUUUGUUUUGUUUUCACCAUUAUAGCUAUGAAUAUUUUUAUUUUCCAUGAUGUGCUUAUGAUAUGCCACAAUCGAUGUAUUAGCCAUGCCGUUGUUUAGUCUUGAAGCCCUUUAAUUUUGGCUUCACGCUUCUCACGGAUGGUGGUCUACAAAUUCUUUUCACUCAUUUUAUUUUCUAAUUUCUUUAUAACUCCUGUUUGAUCCUAAUUCCUAAUUACCUCUCCUUUCUCUUUUUCACAUUUCCAUUAUUUAGUGGUUGUAUUCGAACCUAUAAUUGUGUGUAAAGAGGGAUUGAUGGUAAAUUUCAUUUGGCAUAGGGCUUUUGAGCAGCACAUGGUCAUGGAUCAACGUUUCACUGACUUUUCGAAUUCUAUGAACGGUUUCAAGUUCGACGACGAUGCCUUUUCACCUGCUUUUGACGAUUCUGAAUAUCUUUCAAGUUUUGUUGCUUCGAUAUCCAGUGGAAGCUCUGAAGCGGACUCUCCAGAUGAUAUUGGCCUUUCCGAUAAUGUUUUGAAGUUCAUAAGCACAAUACUCAUGGAGGAGAAAAUGGAGCAGAAGCCUAGUAUGUUUCAUGAUCCUUUAGCCCUACUAGCUACUGAGAAAUCCUUGUAUGAUGUCAUUGGAGAAAAGUUUCCCCUUUCCCCCAGCCAACCCCCUCUUUACUUAAAUCAAAAUGUUGAAAGCCCAGAUGAGCAUUUCUUUGGUAGUUCCAGUGAGCAUAGUAGUAACAGUAAUACUAGCUGGUCAUUCUCUGUUGACUCUCAAGGGGUUGUUAAUCCUGGAGAGUAUGAGCAGUCUAUACAAGGUUACUCUGUCGCAUACCCUUUUGGGACAUCAUUUGGCUCUACGGAGAGUUUCAGCCAUACUGGUAGUGGUCCAAUGAACUCUUCUUUGAGUUGCCAUUUGGUUCCAAACAUAUUUAGCGAUAGCCAGUCCAUCUUGCAAUUCAAUAAAGGGGUAGAGGAAUCUAGCAAGUUCCUUCCUGAUAAUAGUCAAUUGCUAAUUGAUUUGGAGUGCUAUGAUCUGCCUCCAGAAUCAAAUGGAGGGGCUUCGGAGGUUGUAGUCAACGUGGAGGAUACAGGGGAAACCUCGCCAAAUAGAUCACGAGGUAAGAGGAAUCCUCACCGCCUGGAUAGCAAUAAUGUAGAAGAAGAGAGGAAUAGCAAGCUUUCAGCAGUUCAUGUCGAUGAGUCCGAGAUAUCGGAUGUGUUUGAUAAGGUUUUGCUAUUCGAUCCCAAAGUGGAGGGUAUAUGCUGUCAUGGUGAUGAAAAAAGGCUGAGUGAAGCAACAAAGGCCACCCAAUUGAAUGGACAACCACAUGGAUCUAAAGGUGGAAAGAUUCGUGGUAAAAAACAGGGAAAUAAAACCGAAGUGGUCGAUUUGAGGGCACUCUUGACCAAUUGCGCCCAAUCUGUUGCUGCCAAUGACCGCAGAACUGCUAAUGAACAACUAAAGCAGAUUAGGCAGCACUCUUCUCCUACCGGUGAUGGGUAUCAGAGGUUGGCCAAUGUUUUUGCCAAUGGUCUCGAGGCACGUUUGGCUGGCACUGGAAGCCAGAUCUAUGCAGCCCUUGCUUCCAAGAGAAUUUCUGCUGCUGAAAAGUUAAAAGCCUACCAGCUUUAUCUUUCAUCUUGUCCUUUCCAGAAGAUGUCAUUAUUCUUUGCAAACAAAACGAUUGUAGAUUUAGCUAUGAAUUCUGGCAAAAAGAAACUUCAUAUUAUAGACUUUGGUAUCGUAUAUGGUUUCCAGUGGCCCAUGGUUAUCCAACAUCUGUCAACCAUCAUUCCUGGGAUAGAGCUUCGAAUUACAGGAAUAGAGCUUCCACGACCCGGUUUUCGUCCAGCAGAGCUUGUUGAGGAAACAGGGCGUCGCUUGGCAAAGUAUUGUGAACGCUUUAAUGUUCCAUUUCAAUACCAUGCCAUAGCACAGAAGUGGGAAACUAUCAAAAUUGAGGACCUCAACAUACAUGAUGAUGAGGUGCUUUCUGUGAACUGCAUCUUCCGGUUUAAGAACCUACUUGAUGAGAAUCAUGAGACAGUUACGGAGGAUAGCCCAAGAGAUGCUGUUUUGAAGUUAAUUAGGAAGAUGAAUCCGGACAUUUUCAUCCAAUCGGUCAUUAAUGGAUCUUACAAUUCCCCUUUCUUUGUCACUCGGUUUCGUGAGGCUCUCUACCACUACUCUUCUUUGUUCGAUAUGUUGGAUGCUAAUAUACCCCGUGACAACCAAGAGAGGAUGGAUUUUGAGCAAGAGUUCCUGGGGCGCGAGAUUAUGAAUGUAAUCGCAUGCGAGGGGGCGGAAAGGGUGGAGAAGCCUGAGACAUACAAGCAGUGGCAGGCUCGCACAAUGAGGGCUGGUUUGAAGAUCCUCCCAUUGUUGUCACAGGAACUUUUGAGGAAGUUCAGGUGUAAUGUGAAGGCACGUUAUCAUAAGGAUUUUGUGAUCGACGAAGAUGGUCAGUGGAUGCUGCAAGGAUGGAAAGGUCGGAUUAUCUGUGCUAGCUCCUGCUGGGUACCUGCAUAGAGCUUUUAUGGUUCUGAAUUGGAGACGAUGGAUUUCUGACCAAGGUAGCUGUCGAGAAUGUGUGUCAAUGGUACUGCAUUCUUCAACUUUUAGCUUACUUCGUACUCUAUCUAUUUCUGACAGUUAUGUUUUUGUUUGUGAAUAAAUUGACUGCCUUAAGAGCUACAUCUGGCAUACAUUUUUCAGGGUUGUGCAAGUUUGACCCUGGUUUUCAAAUUAUGUGAAGCCCCAAUUAGUUAGAAAGGAGCUGAAUUUGCUGUUUACUGUUAUUCAGAUCAUCGGCAGCGACAAAAUCAUGCUCUGAUUUACCAGAUGUUAUCUAGGAGCAGUCCAGCAAAAUUAGAGGCGCAACUCUUACUCUCGUGGUUCUGAAGAAACACCAUCCAGGCAUGGUUUUGGAUUAUGGUAUCCUCUUUUCUUUGAAGAAAAAAGGAUUAUGUGAUGUACAGAUGGAUUAUGUGAUGUAAAAAUGGUCUAGCAGAGUAAAGGAUUGUCACUUAUCAAGAAGUACCCUGUUGUGUUGAUGAAUCUACCCUUGUAGAACCACUCACUUGUAUCGAGAUUUCGUCAACUCACCGUGUUCUUUCCUUUCCCUUGCUGCGUUUUUGGUGGAUAUUUGACUUUGAGGAUGGUGUACUACUUGUUUCUUGUAAAAAUCACAAGCUCGUAGCUUUCGGGUUGUUUGGUCAGGUGUGUACAAAUGGAAGUACAUUUUGAGAUUCUGUUAUUUUAUCUGGUCUCUCCUUACUGGUUGGGUAAUA